rnacentral:lncRNA from 1 species
AUGGCAAACGAAACGAAAGCGAAACUAAACUGCACUACGUUACAGCUGCGCAGCGCUGACAGUUUAUCAGCUCGGACCGUGACGCCAACAAACUUGUCUGAGCUCAGAACAGCUUUACUCGGGAGCAAAGUUGAUUUCGCGACACUGUUACUGCACAGAUGCAACAGUGCUUCGAGAUCCAGUGGGAAGCAUUUGAAUUCGCCACACAAUGACAAGGUUUCUGCGAGAUCUAAUGGUAGUUCUCAUCCCCCUCCUCAGCGUCUGUCCCCAGCACAGUGUGCAUCCAGAGCCCUGACCCAGAAGCAGCUGCACACCCAGCUCACUCAGAGAUUGGAGGAGGUGGUGAGGGAGCAGCAGGGUACAGACGGCCGUACAGCCCAGAGAGGCUCAUCACUGGAGCCCAGAACUGCAGGUCAAGAAAAGGAGAAUAUGGAGAAGUCAGUGAAGUCCAUGCCUGCUAGACCUGCACAGGAGAGAAGGAAGAGUAGUGAAGUUCAUGCCGACACAUCAGACCAGGACAAUGUGAGACUCUUUUAGUUGGAAUAGAUGUCUUUAUGUUGUAAAGAGCAAAUAUUAUUAUGCUGCGUUCACACCAAACGCGAAUAGAGUGUCUGGCGCAAAUGAUUUCAAUGUUAAGUCGCGUUAACCAAUCAGGAGCCUGCUCAGGAGUCACUCAUUCAACAUGGAGGAAUGACUGACAUUGUUAGUAAGCAGUCAACCGGAGCUAUAUGACAAAAGUUCAUAUUUCUAUAGAGACAGGAAUAAAAAGGACCUAUAUAUAUAAAACAUAUUAAUAGAUUAAUUGAAUAAAGGCCAAAGAUAAGAUUUACCCCAAACAAUUAUAUUUUAUCUUGAACCACUGAAGAGACAUCAGAGCCAGCGGCAAAUGUCAGAAGGUCUAGCCGAGGUGAGGCUGCUCUCGGCGGAUACAUGAUCACUGAGUUCCCGCUGAUCGCAUGGAGCUCAUCUCCGAAAUCGGCGAAACACAUUUUUAAAUAGACGCUGAGACAUCAGAGCCAGCGGCAAAUGUCAGUAAGGUCUAGCCGAGGUGAGGCUGCUCUCGGCGGAUACAUGAUCACUGAGUUCCCGCUGAUCGCAUGGAGCUCAUCUCCGAAAUCGGCGAAACACAUUUUUAAAUAGACGCUGUCUUUAUAAAUAAACCGCAUAUUUGAGUUUAAAACAACUACAUUCUCACCUGAAAUACUUUUAAAACUACAUUUCAUGACACGAUAACAAUAAUAUUUUGAAAAUUAUCCGAAUAAAAAUGGUGGUUGAAAAUGCUGCGUCAACUCAGCUGGAAGCCCCCCCAUGACGCAAAUUCGCAUCUGUUGUGAAGUUAAUUUCACGCGCGAAUGAAGCGAAUGAUCUCAAAAUGUUCAAGCGCCAAACUAUACGCGGUAGACGCGAAUUUGACGCACACAGCAUAAGUGUUUGCUAGGGAUGGGCAAUAUCUUAUCAUUUGCGAUAUACCAAUAAAAAUUGUCCCACCAUAAGAAUUAGUCUUCCCACCAUAAUAACGAUAAAGUCUAGUUGUUGACAUAUUUCUGUGUGCGACUGUGUGAAGUGAUGUGAAGAAAGGCGGAUGUGAAAUUAAGCAGCUCCUUCUACAGUCUGGAACAGGUUUGGAUAAUGCUAUACAGUGCGACAAAAAUCGGUCUGAGCCUUGAGUAAAUGUACUACAGUAGAACGUGUACACUACAGUUUUACAUGUGUAUGAGUCGUUUACAAACCUGUUGUCCAACAAAGAUAUUAUUCAUUGACGUGCUUUUUCAUAACAUAGUUAAGUGUUUGAAAUAACUUAUUUUUGAGAUCAGAUGUGCUUUCGUAUCACAGAAUAAGGCAGAAAUCAUACUAUUUUAUAGCAUUAUAUAUACAGUGAUAAAGGCUAUGUCGAUUACCACUGCAUUAUAAAUAUACUUUAUCCUUAUAAAAAUACCCAAGAUUGCUUGAAGAACACAGACCAUAUAUUUUGUGCAAUCAUAUGUUUAUUGUCUUCAGGUUUCCUCAGUCAAGAUUUCUCUAUCUGCGUUUUAUUUAGCUACAGCGAUCACUGGAUACCUCUGUCCAUAUCAUAGACUGUAUAAAAACAGGUCCAUAUUAGUGAUUUCCUGGAGCAUUACUUCUACUAUGCAUAUGUGGAGUUUCUGCUCAGUAUGAAAUAAACAGUUGUGUGUACUGCUCACAACAUCCAAUUUUGGGUAAAAAUAGGAAAGAUAAUACUUUUCUCUAAAAAACAGGAUUAUCAUCAUUGAUAUCGUUAUCGCAAUAAAUAUCAGAAAUUAUUGUGACACAUUUUUAAGCCCAUAUCGCCCAUCCCUAGUGUUUGCUAAAGCAGCUGUUACUAUUUCUUGAAUUUGGAGUCGAUUUGUUCUAGGCACAUUGAGAUGUGGCACUUAAAGAAGUUUUAAAAAAUUACUGAAAAUUCUCUCACCCCUUUGUCAUCCAAGAUGUCCAUGUCUUUCCUUCUUCAGUCAUAAAGAAAUUAUGUUUUUUUUUUGAGUAAAACAUUUCAGGAAUCUUUUCCAUAUAGUGGACCUCUAUGGUGCCCGCGAGCUUGAACCUCCAAAUUUCAGUUUAAAUGCAGC